UGCGGCUAGUGGAUUUAGGGGUGCGGCUAGUGAAUUCUGAGGCGUGGGAAUGAAUUUUGGGGUGUGGCUACUGAGUUUCAGAAUGUGGCUAGUGAAUU